rnacentral:rRNA from 1 species
CGGGUGAGUAAUGUAUGGGGAUCUGCCUGAUGGCGGGGGAUAACUACUGGAAACGGUAGCUAAUACCGCAUAAUGUCUACGGACCAAAGCGGGGGACCUCCGGGCCUCGCGCCAUCAGAUGAACCCAUAUGGGAUUAGCUAGUAGGUAAGGUAACGGCUCACCUAGGCGACGAUCCCUAGCUGGUCUGAGAGGAUGACCAGCCACACUGGGACUGAGACACGGUCCAG